UGAUGGCUGUUCUGCUCACUGCGUGGAGCCUUAAGUAGUGGGAUUUUAGGCCAUCAUAUAUCUAAACUGACUUGUUUUCAUUCAGGGCACCAUGGGUUAGCUGUCUGUCACUGCCUUUUGAUUUUUGCAGACUCAAACAAUU
ensembl:snoRNA